UACAGAGGGUGCGAGCGUUAAUCGGAAUUACUGGGCGUAAAGCGCGCGUAGGCGGCUUUGCAAGUCGGGUGUGAAAUCCCCAGGCUUAACCUGGGAACUGCAUUCGAGACUGCAUUGCUAGAGUAUGGGAGAGGGAAGUGGAAUUUCCGGUGUAGCGGUGAAAUGCGUAGAUAUCGGGAGGAACACCAGUGGCGAAGGCGGUACUCUGGGCCGGAACUGACGCUGAGGAGCGAAAGCGUGGGUAGCGAACAGG
rnacentral:rRNA from 1 species